GGAUGUGAGGGUGAUCUGGCUGUGACAUCUGUCACCCCAUUGAUCGCCAGGGUUGAUUCAGCUGAUCUGACUGUCUAGGUGGGUGUCCCCUUCCUCCCUCAUAGCUCCAUGUGCUGUGAGUCCCUCCAGAAGCUGUGUGCUCAGUCCAAGAGGACUGCUUUCCCCAAUAGAGACCGACCAGUCUUUGGUUUAGGGUAUAGGAGUAGCUGCAUUCCCCUGCUCCAAACUAGCUCUCAAGGACAGAUAUACUAACCUAGAAAAAGUAAAUUUUGUAACCUCAUUCUGUAGAUGAACA
rfam:Erinaceus europaeus unplaced genomic scaffold scaffold00068, whole genome shotgun sequence